rnacentral:misc_RNA from 1 species
AGCAGCCGCGGUAAUUCCAGCUCCAAUAGCGUAUAUUAAAGUUGUUGCAGUUAAAAAGCUCGUAGUUGAAUUUCGGGAUCAAUAUAUCGGUCGUGCCUUGGUACGUACUGGUAUCAUUGGUUUCUCCUUUCUGACGAACCAUGAUGUCAUUAAUUUGGUGUUAUGGGAAGUUAGGACUGUUACUUUGAAAAAUUAGAGUGUUUAAAGCAGGCUUUGGCUUGAAUAUAUUAGCAUGGAAUAAUGAAAUAGGACGUUCGAACCUAUUUUGUUGGUUUCUAGGAUCAACGUAAUGAUUAAUAGGGAUAGUUGGGGGCAUUAGUAUUCAAUUGUCAGAGGUGAAAUUCUUGGAUUUAUUGAAGACUAACUACUGCGAAAGCAUUUGCCAAGGAUGUUUUCAUUAAUCAAGAACGAAAGUUAGGGGAUCGAAGACGAUCAGAUACCGUCGUAGUCUUAACCAUAAACUAUGCCGACUAGGGAUCGGAUGAUGUUAAUUUUUAAUGACUCAUUCGGCGCCUUACGG